rnacentral:rRNA from 1 species
UACGAGGGGGGCGAGCGUUGUCCGGAAUUAUUGGGCGUAAAGGGUGCGUAGGCGGCCUGACAAGUCUGAUGUGAAAUCCCUGGGCUCAACCCAGGGCCUGCAUCGGAAACUGUCGGGCUUGAGUAUGGGAGAGGUGAGUGGAAUUUCCGGUGUAGCGGUGAAAUGCGUAGAUAUCGGAAGGAACACCUGUGGCGAAAGCGGCUCACUGGACCAUUACUGACGCUGAGGCACGAAAGCUAGGGGAGCAAACAGG